rnacentral:rRNA from 1 species
GAUGAACGCUGACAGAAUGCUUAACACAUGCAAGUCAACUUGAACUUCGGUUUGGGUGGCGGCCGGGUGAGUAACGCGUAAAGAACUUGCCUCACAGAUAGGGACAACAUUUGGAAACGAAUGCUAAUACCUGAUAUUAUGAUUAUAUGGCAUCGUAUAAUUAUGAAAGCUAUAUGCGCUGUGAGAGAGCUUUGCGUCCCAUUAGCUAGUUGGAGAGGUAACGGCUCACCAAGGCGAUGAUGGGUAGCCGGCCUGAGAGGGUGAUCGGCCACAAGGGGACUGAGACACGGCCCUUACGCAUACGGGAGGCAGCAGUGGGGACUAUUGGACAAUGGACCAAGAGUCUGAUCCAGCAAUUCUGUGUGCACGAUGAAGUUUUUCGGAAUGUAAAGUGCUUUCAGUUGGGAAGAAAAAAAUGACGGUACCAACAGAAGAAGUGACGGCUAAAUACGUG